AAAGCUGAGCACCGCAGUAAUUAUGAGAACCCCUCCUGUCGGUUUUCUCCAUUUUCAACAAUAACAGACCUUAGGAAAUCUAUACACAUAGAGAUCCUCGCUUCCAUGGCCUCUUCUUGAAAAAAAAUCAAACGACCUCCUGAAGGUUUUCUUCUUCAACCUUAGCAUACGAAAAGCCUAACACCAAGAGCAGCGACCCUAACUCCUUCCUCUCAGAUUCAAACGACCCCAUCCCUUCGCCAAACAACCAGCGACCACUGGUUACUAUCGUCAGUCCAAAACGAGAGCCGCAUUAGUGAUGAAAAGUUUUUGCGUUCCCUUAUCGUUUUUUGUUUAUCGUUAAAGAAAAAUAGAGGUAAAAAUGAACAGAGUGAGAGAUUGAUGGAGGAACGGACGCUCAGACCUGAGUGACGGGGUAGCGAGUCAGUCCGGUCAGAGCUUAUGAGAUUUCCGACGAGAUUUUCCGGCUUAGAUUUUGUUGCCAGUCCUGUUCAUUCCGUCGAUUAGCAUUUUCAAAUUAUCUAGGUACUUCCACUCAGUUCUAUCAUCCUUGGGAGGAGACAUUUCUGUAGAGACUUUGAGGUAUAUCUGCCGUGUCCGCAGACGUAGGAGUCCCUUUCUAUCUUUCUGUAAUAAGUAUAGCCCUUCAGUAUUUUCCCCUUGUUUAGACAUUUUCGGAGUUAGAGUUUCUUAUGUAUCUCUUAGCUUGUGCUUCGUGAGAUUCGUGGUUUUGGGAUUGUUGUUAGCUUCGAGAGCUUUUAUUGUAUGUGCCGAACGGCACCUUAAACAC